rnacentral:rRNA from 1 species
GACAGAGGAUGCAAGCGUUAUCCGGAAUGAUUGGGCGUAAAGCGUCUGUAGGUGGCUUUUCAAGUCCGCCGUCAAAUCCCAGGGCUCAACCCUGGACAGGCGGUGGAAACUACCAAGCUGGAGUACGGUAGGGGCAGAGGGAAUUUCCGGUGGAGCGGUGAAAUUCGUAGAUAUUCGGAAGAACACCAGUGGCGAAGGCGACUCACUGGACACAUAUUGACGCUGAGGUGCGAAAGCGUGGGGAGCAAACAGG